GGGCACGACACCGGAGAGGGAGCCUGAGAAACGGCUACCACAUCCAAGGAUGGCAGCAGGCGCGCAAAUUACCCAAUCCCGACACGGGGAGGUAGUGACAAUAAAUAACAAUACGGGGUUCUUUUGGAUCUCGUAAUUGGAAUGAGUACAAUUUAAAUCUCUUAACGAGGAACAAUUGGAGGGCAAGUCUGGUGCCAGCAGCCGCGGUAAUUCCAGCUCCAAUAGCGUAUAUUAAAGUUGUUGCAGUUAAAAAGCUCGUAGUUGAAUUUCGGGGUCAGUAGGCCGGUUGUGCCUAUGGUAUGUACUGGCUUUAUUGAUUCCUCCUUCUUGAAGAACUGUAAUGUCAUUAAUUUGGUGUUGCAGGGAAACAGGACUAUUACUUUGAAAAAAUUAGAGUGUUUAAAGCAAGCCAACGCUUGAAUAUAUUAGCAUGGAAUAAUGAAAUAGGACGUUUGAUCCUAUUUUGUUGGUUUCUAGGAUUGACGUAAUGAUUAAUAGGGAUAGUUGGGGGCAUUAGUAUUCAAUUGUCAGAGGUGAAAUUCUUGGAUUUAUUGAAGACUAACUACUGCGAAAGCAUUUGCCAAGGAUGUUUUCAUUAAUCAAGAACGAAAGUUAGGGGAUCGAAGACGAUCAGAUACCGUCGUAGUCUUAACCAUAAACUAUGCCGACUAGGGAUCGGAUGAUGUUAAUUUU
rnacentral:rRNA from 1 species